CAGGUUCCUUCUAAAUCAGUGGAUUUUUGCGUUUUCUCGUAGGUUCUACAAUUUCUUUCUGAUUUUUUCUCACUAUAUAUUCUUCGAAUCUUGCUCAAUGAUGAUUCAGUUUGCUUUAACCACACCGAAGAGAAACCAAUGUGUUCGAACAUACCUGGAUUUCGUUUAAGAGUUCUUAUUCCAUUUGAUAAGUAAUUUGAAAGUGGAAUCCGUAUAACUUUUGAAUCAAAUCCACUUAGCGUUCAGAUUCAUUGAGAUUCUCAUGUCGAAAACACUGGCCUUUGUCUGAGAGCAAUUUUAAAUCCAUCAAACUGUUUUUUUAAUAAAAUUUUGCCAUUGAUGAUAACACUGAAGGCUUGUUUCUCACAGACAUUCGCAGUGGCCGCCUAAGAUCUUUCGCCUUUCGCCGGGCUUGAGAGAUUGUGCUGUUUUAUCCUUCCUUGGAUGUCUGAGGCAUUCUUGUUUUAUUGUUUUUCUUACAAAUUCUAUUUUAUUAUUUAAAAAAACAUUAUGUUAUUUUUUAUUGCAAAAUGUUUUGUAUGUUCCUAAAAUUAUAUUAUUUUGAAUCAAAAUAAAUGUUGAUGAUGAUAAUCCGAAGGCUUGUUUCUCAAGACAUUCGCAGUGGCCGACUAAGAACUUUCGCCUUCGCCAGGCUUGAGAGUUAAUGCUGCUUUUUUCCUUCCUUGGAUGUCUGAAACUAAUUUACAUAUGUUUUUAAGCUUUUUAUAUUCAUGUAGUUGUAUUUAUGUUAAAUUAACUUCCUUGGAUUUAAUAGUUUAUCUUAAUUUUGAUAUUUAGGUUUUUCGGUUUAAAUAUAUAUCAAAUAUCUGUAAGUAAAUAAGACAAUAGUUUACGAGAUAUGGCGUAUUUUGCACUCAUUAUAUAUUUAAGGCAAUCAUAUUUUAAUGUAAUUUCGAUUAACUCUGUUUCUAGUUAAUAUUUUGUGUUUUGUACUGUUUGUUUUAUUUUAUUUAUUUUCAAAAAUUUUGUGGGAAUUUUGUUAAAAAUUUAAUGUGACUACGUUAAUAUCUCUAAAUACUGUAUGAACACUGCCACAUAAUUUGUUUCGACUGUAAUAGUUCUAAACUAUUUUAGACGAAAAUAGUUGUAGUUGAUAAAUGAAAGAUUAGCAAUUGUUAGGAGAGUUUUUAAGUAUUUUGAGAGGUUAAAAAAGUGAAGAUGAUAUUCUUUGAUUGGGUAACAAUUGUAAAUGUUUGUAUUUAGAAAAACAAAUUCUUUAAGUUAUUAAAAAAUCCGACGACUAUAUUUCUUGAAAAUGGAGAGGGAAGCUUCAAGAAUGCGCCGAAAAUGCUAUGAAUUAUGGACAUUUAUGCUGUUUCUUUCUUCAUUUUCAAGAAAUAUAGCUGUUAGUUUUUUAAAAAAUAUUCGUUCUUUUUACUAUACAAGUUAAUAACAUCUACAGUAAGUUAGUCACAAAUCUAUCGUCUUUUUAAAUUAAAUAUCUCUCAAAAUGUCUUCUAACGUUUCCUUGAAAUAUAGUUGAUGUUUUGGUUGUUAUAAUAAAAUUUCUAUUUGAUAUGGAAAUAGCUUGGCCCAAUACUCAAGUUUUUGAGUUGUAGUAAAUUUUGCUAAUAUGACUCAGUUUUUCAGUGACAUUUUCGUCAAGAAGUGCCUAAAGUUGUAGAAUUAGUGUUGGCUGAAAGGUGGAGAUGAUUUUAACUAUGGUUAAAAGCAUGUUUUUUACCGGGGGUAUAAUUUUAGCUUGUAUGAUAUGGUAUUUUGUAUAUUUACAACGAACUUUAUAAAAUUAAUAUUGUGUUGUGCAAGUAGCCCUUAAAAAGCAAAAUAGUCGGAUCUAAUGGAAUAUGAAUUUAGAUUUUAGUUCCUAUAAGUUUUUCUUGGUUAUAAAUUAAUAUGCUUUAAUAAUCCAUUGUGCAUUGAGAUAUUUUAAAAAAAUUACGUAUAAUUGAAAAAAUAUUUUAGAAUUUUGAAUUCAUAAGAAAGUAAAAAUAUAUUGAAUUAUGAUAAUAGUUUUUUUUAAAUUUAAAUUAAAAAAAUAAUUUAAGUAAAUAAAAUAUAUUAAUAUACUUAAAAUUUGAAAUUAAAAGGUUAAUUUUUUAAUGAAAUUGAAAUUUAUUUAUUAUUAUAUUUAUUGUAAUUAUUAAAAUAUUAUUAAUAAAAUAAAAAACUCAAAGAAUAAAAAUUAAUUUAAAAUAAAUGAUAUAUGACAAUUUGAAUGAGAAUGUAAUAAAAAAUAAUAUCAUUUUAUUUUAAACCUUGAUUGCAAAACUGUAUCGACUGCUUGACAAUGUUAGUUCCUCUUUUGGAAAAUAAAUACAUGUCUUUCAAAUACUAAUUAUUUUAUAAUUGUUUAUUUUGGGUAUAUAAUUAGUUCUUUUCAUUCUUAAAAUAAAAUAAUGCAACCGUAAUACACCAAGGAGCCCCAACUGUCAUGGUGAAUAUCCUCUCGUGUACAUUCUCCAAAAUAAUAAUAUUCAUUCUCUUCCCCUUUGGACAUAAAUACGACUAUUUCCUCAACAGUGAGCACUUUUAAUCGAACCACAAACAUUCAUGUUACAUGCCCAAACAACUACAACGUUAGAGCUGGCUUCCCCGUUAAUCAACAUUUUUAACUACAUUAACAAAUCAUACAUGGUAACCAGACUUUUUGCAUAUUUGAUUACUAAUGUUUUGGCCUAACUAGCUAUAUUCUUAUGAAUAUGUAAGCAAACAAUGGCGGAUGGCGAUGUUUUCCUUCAAUUGUCACAUUCCGUUCAUGAGUGUAAUCUCUAUAGUUACGAGGUCUUUUAAUCGACCGUAACAGCCUAGAGAGCCAUAGAAUUCUCUAAAACUCUAGUAUCUUGAAACCUGAACACAUCGUUGCUUUUGUACUAUAACUUACUUUUAGUGGUAUAUUUGUUUUUGCCACUGUAAGUUCAAAUAAAUACAUGACAUUUAUAGAUAUCAUAUUUUAUAUUUGGUUUUAAUUUUAAUAAAAUAUGAAAAUAAAAUAAUUCUUUGCAGUAACUUGAAUAAGUAAAAUAGGGCAAACAUGAAUUAAAAAAAUGAUUAUGUAUUGAGAGAAUCAUCCCCAGUAAUUAAAAAUAUCUCAUCCUUUAUUUCCGACGAGAAAAUAUUUUCCGACAUAUUUCCCGAGGAAUUGUCAGGAGACCCUUCCGAGCGUCAGGUCGAAUUCUGAAUCGAUCUUGUACCUGGAGCCACUCCAAUCACCAGAUCACCCUACAGGUUAGCUCCUGCCGAGAUACAAGAGUUAUCUAGUCAACUAGGCGAACUUCUCGACAAAUGAUUUAUCAAGCCAAGCUUUUCACCUUGGGGAGCUCUAGUCCUAUUCAUCAAAAAGAAAGGCGGAUCUUUCAGGAUGUUCAUUGACUAUCGAGAGUUAAACAAGCUCACCGUCAAGAAUCGAUACCCACUCCCUCGAAUCGAUGAUCUAUUCAAUCAGCUCCAAGGAGCCAGCUACUUCUCCAAGAUAUAUCUGAGGUCCGGUUACCACCAACUAAGGGUCCGAGAGGAGGAUAUCCCAAAGAUUGCUUUCCGAAACCGUUAUGGGCAUUUCGAUUUCGUAGUCAUGCCUUUUGGUCUCUCCAAUGCACCCGCAGACUUCAUGGACCUGAUGAACCGAGUCUAUCGGCCGUUUCUCGAUAACUUCGUAAUUGUUUUCAUCGAUGAUAUACUCGUUUACUCUAAGAGUAAGUAAGAGCACAGCCAGCACUUACGACAGGUUUUGGAAACAUUGAGAGCAGAGAAGCUUCACGCGAAGUUCUCCAAAUGCGAGUUCUGGAUUCGUAGAGUGGAAUAUUUGGGGCAUGUAGUCAGUAAAGAGGGGAUACAUGUGGACUCUACCAAAAUCAAGGCUAUUGAGGGAUGGACGACCCCAAGAACCCCAACCGAAAUCAGACAAUUUCUAGGCCUUGCUGGUUAUUACCGAAGGUUCAUCCAAAAUUUUUCCAAAAUCACCAAACCUCUCACCACUCUCACCCAGAAGGGCGUACCUUUCCAAUGGAAUGACAAACAAGAAGCUGUUUUCCAAACCCUGAAACAAGCCCUCUGCAAUGCUCCAGUGCUGUCUUUACCAGAAGGAACGGAAGACUUUGUAGUAUACUGCGAUGCUUCAAAUCAAUGGUUAGGUUGUGUGCUUAUGCAGCGCAGAAAGGUGAUAGCUUAUGCAUCUAGGCAACUAAAGACCCAUGAAGUAAACUACACCACCCACGAUCUCGAACUGAGAGUUGUGGUCUUCGCAUUAAAAAUUUGGAGGCAUUACCUAUAUGGUACAAGGUGCACCAUUUUCAUCGACCAUAAGAGCCUCCUGCACAUUCUGAAUCAGAAAGAAUUAAACAUGAGACAACGGAGAUAGGUCGAACUACUAAACGACUAUUAGUGCGAAACCAAGUACCACCCAGGCAAAGCAAAUGUGGUAGCCGAUGCCUUAAGUCGCAAGGAAUACUCAAGUCGCCGAGUGAAGACGCUGGCAAUGACCAUCCGUUCCCAUCUAUCCUCACAAAUCAAAGAAACUCAGCAGGAAGCCUUGAAACCAGAGAAUGUCGCCAGUGAGGCAUUGUGCGAAAUGGAGAAAAUUUUGACGGUCAAAGAAGACGGAGCCUAUUAUCUUAUGGACCGAAUCUAGACACCAAUGUUCAGUGGAUUCCGGGACAUGAUAAUGCAUGAGGCUCACAAAACAAGGUACUCUGUCCAUCCGGGAUCCGAUAAAAUGUACUUGGAUAUCAAACAACAUUAUUGGUGGCUUAAUAUGAAAGCAGAGAUUGCCACUUACGUUGGUAAGUGUCUCACUUGUGCCAAAGUUAAAGUGGAGUAUCAGAAGACCUCGGGUCUACUUCAACAACCCGAAAUACCCGAGUGGAAAUGGGAAAGGAUCGCAAUGGAUUUUAUAACCAAAUUACCUUAGACGGCAGGUGGUCUGGAUGCUAUUUGGGUGAUCGUUGACCGAUUAACAAAAUCCGCCCAUUUCAUGCCAAUAAAGGAGACGUAUAAGAUGGAAAGGCUAACGCGAAUAUACUUGAAUGAGGUAGUGAGACUUCAUGGAGUCCCCAUAUCCAUUAUCUCGGAUUAGGAUAGUAGAUUCACCACUCGUUUUUGGCAGUCGCUCCAGAAAGAAUUGGGAACCCAACUGGAUAUGAGCACUGCCUACCACCCUCAGACCGAUGGCCAAAGCGAACGAACUAUUCAGACUCUAGAAGACAUGCUCCGGGCAUGUGUAAUAGGUUUUGGCAAAGCCUGGGAUACCCACCUGCCUCUAGUUGAAUUUUUAUAUAACAACAACUAUCAUACGAGCAUAAGGGUUGCUCCCUUUGAGGCUUUGUAUGGCCGGAAUUGCAAAUUGCCCUUCUGUUGGGCUGAAGUGGGUGACACACAGCUAGUAAAAGGGCAAUCGCGAAACAACACUCUCACGGGACCCGAAAUCAUACAAGAAACUACGGAGAAAAUAAUCCAAAUCAAAGCCCGAAUCCAAGCAUCACGUGACCGACAAAGGAUCUACGCUGACAAACGAUGAAAACCUAUGGAGUUCCAAGUCGAAGAUCGAGUGCUAUUAAAGGUCUCUCCCUGGAAAGAGAUGAUCCGUUUCAGGAAACGAGGAAAGUUAAACCCGCAGUAUUUGAGAUUCUUGCCCGAAUUGGUCCGGUGGCCUAUAAGCUACAACUGCCUUCGGAGCUCAGCAACGUACAUCUUGUGUUCCACAUAUCCAAUUUGAAAAAGUGCUUAUCAGAUGAAACCCUUGUUAUUCCUCUAGAAGAGAUCGAGAUAAACGAGAACCUCCUGUUCGUCGAAGAACCCAUCGAGAUAAUGGAUAGGGAAGUGACGCGCACGAAACAAAGUCGCAUUCCGAUUGUGGAGGUUCGAUGGAACGCUAAGCGUGGAUCGGGAUUCACUUUGGAACACGAAGACCAGAUGAAGCAGAACUACCCUCACUUAUUCUCGCGUCCAUGAUCCUACCUUUCAGAAGAAUUUCGUAACGAAAUUCCCUCUAACGGGGGGAUGAUGUCACAACUAGCAUUUUUAGCUAGGAAAUUAUGUUUCUCAUGUAAGCAUCAACUAUUGUAAGGCUUGUAUCAAUGCAUUAAAGUUUACAUUAUGAUACCUUAUGAACCCUGUAUUGUUAUAAUACAAAACAUUCAAAUCUCUAUAUGUAUCUCCCUUAGUCGAAAACAACACAAAAUGAAAGGAGAAAACUUGAAGGAGCAAACCUGGUUCGAAACCCUUAAGAAGCUUCGGACCUCCUAAAGGAACCGAGCAUUUUCGCACAUAGGAGCCUCUUGACUCCAGAAUACCCUUUCAUCCGGACCAUUUUGCAUCCGGAAGCCUUUGAGUUGCUCCGGACAAUCUUGCUUCGAAACUUUCCAUUUUGGUCCGGAAUGGGAAGAACAGUUUCGGAUCUCCUCAAGAACCGGGAAAUCUUGUUCCGGAAACGUCUGGAUUCGGAACAUUCUAUUAUGCCCGGAAGAACUCGCCUCACACAGGAAGGACCAGCUACCGGGCAGUUUCGCACCAGACUCCUUCGCACUUCGGAAGAGACACUCUGGAAUUGAGUAAGCGACUUCAGAACUUGCCUUUGACGCCAGAUUUUUUUUGCUAAAUAACUCUGGAACCUCCCUAGGUACUUCGGACCCUCGCAGAUUCCGGACCUUACUCCGAAUUUUUGCCCAUUUCGGAACUCUUCUUCACUUUAAGGUAUUUUGACGUCGGGAAUCCCACCAAACUCAUAUUUUUCAUAACUUAGACUCCCCAAAACCUCUAUUCUAUGCUAAAUUUGAGUAUUUAAAAACAUAUUUACAUAAAAUAAUAAUUAAUAUCUAUAAAAGUAUUUUAUUAAAUCAUAAAGUGAUAAUGGGUUUGACUUUAUGAUGGGAUGUAAUUCCCAUUUCCCAUGCAAUUCAUAGUAACUCAUGAAUUACCCACCAAAUAUCAAUGCUUUAACCUCCAAAUUACCAAGCAAGCACCAACUCAUUUCACCCUUCCAUCUUAGACACAUCCACUUUAAAACUAUAACAUCCCAAAAAUACAAGCCAAAAAUUUCGGUUUUAACUCAUUAAUAAAACCAUAAUUAUCUUUCAACAUAUAAAAAUCAUAAAUGGUGUAUCUCAAGAAUAACAUAACAUCUGUCAAAUAUAUCAGAGUAUAAACAUCCCAGGCUGAACAAAUGGUGUGUGCACUGCAAUCUUCCCGAGCUCCUCUUUUGAAAACUGAGUACCUGAAACCAAAACUGAAAACUCUGUAAACACGAAGCUUAGUGAGUCUCCCCAAACUACCACAUACCAUACACAUAAUCACAUAACUUGGGCCUAGCCCACUGCAUCGGGCCCUGCCCGGCAUCAGACCGUAAUCCGGUACACAUAUAAACAUAUCCACAAUGCAGAUAACAUAAACACAUAACAUAAAUAUAACUCUGGGACUACUCCCAACUGCAUCGGGACGAAUCCCAACAUCGGCUUACCCGACAUCGGACUCCUGCCUGACAUCGGGCUCACCCCGACAUCCGACCGCAUCGGGCAUCGGGCUCACCCCGACAUCGAGCUUACCCCAGCACAUACACAACACAACAUAUAUCACAUAACAUAAUCACAUAAUCUGCAUCGGGCUUGCCCCGACAUCGGACCGAAGCCCGGAACAUAUAACAUAUAACAUAUAAACUAGCAUACAUCGGGCUUGCCCCGGAACACAUAACACAUGGCAUAAUAACUAACAUACAUCGGGCUUGCGCGGCAUCGGGCUUACCCUGGAACACAUAACACACAACAUGUAAAUUAACAUACAUCGGGCUUGCCCCGACAUCGGACCUAAGUCCGAAACACAUAGCACAUAUCAUAUAACCUGCAUGAUUCACAAAGACAUCAUGCAUACUUAACUACUUCUCGGGACCGCCCCGACAUCGAACUGAAGUCCGGAAACAUAUAGACGGCAUCAGGCUUACCCUGGCAUCAGGAUUACCCCGACAUACUACAACUACUUAAAUGGGUCGUCAUUAUGGCCUUAGACUUAUUCCUAUUGAAAGAGGACUCACCUCACACUGCUGAAGUACCGCUGACAAAACCAUAGCUGCUGGAUGACAGAUUCCCAGUCUGUCAAUAUCAAAAUAAUACCCAAUUAAUAAUUGGGUUCCAACUCAUAACCAUAAGUCCAUGCUUGGGGUAAAAGAAUACUUUACCCCUAUCUUAGCUUGACUCAAUCCCAAGGCCCAAUUUAAAGGCCCAAAAGUAUAAUAAUGAACCAAGGCCCAACUAUGGCCCAUCUAUGUCCCAAUUUUCAUAAUUGGGCCCAAGUCUCUAAAUGGUCUUGAUCAAAGGCCCAAUCAUUCAUUCUUGGUCCAACACUUGACAUUCUCAUAGUCCAACAUCUCAUAAUCAUCGAGGCCCAGACUAUGGCCCAAUUUUCCAAAUUGGGCCCAAACUCCUUACAUGGGCCUUACCCUAAGUCCAUUAGAUUAUUCUAAUCCAUUUGCUUGGUUUUAAAUGGUCCAAGUUAAUCUUAAUCACCAAGGCCCAAUAGGAAGACCCAACUCAAAGUCCAAGUGAAAUUAGGGUUUCACCUAAAAUGACAAUUAGGGGUAAGUGUUUCUAACUUAACCCAGGGGCUCAUCGGCGGCACAACGGUGGCUAACAGCGGCGUUGCAACAAUGAACUAGAGAGAAGAAUGGAUGAGGAGGAUGAGCGGAGACCACCUUGGAACGAAGCAAUGCCCACAACAAGAAGUGGAGGAAGGAGAUGACGGUUCAAUAGCGAAGGAGCGGCGGCAGGAGGCUCGGCAGCACAGCGGUGGAUGGUCUAAAAAGAGGGAAACACCACGGUAACCUCGGCAGCGGCCUCAGGACUGUCAUCGGAGUCAGUGGAGAUCCUACUAUGGCCUCACGGAGGCAGUUGCUGGGACGAGGGGGGAUAAGGUGAGGGUGGCGGCUGCAUAGGGUUUGGUCGGUGGUGAAGUUUUAUACCCGACUCCACUAAAAGUUUGCCAUAAUGUCAAGAUCAAUCCUCCCCUUCUCUUUUUCUUUCAAACCAAGGCCAUAAUUUACCAUUCCCACCCUUGACCAUGGAAUUUCUUUCAUAUCUAGUCCCAUAGUUACAAUUCAGCCCCUCCUUACAAAUUAUUCUUCAAAUAAAGUCCAUAUGUUACCUUUUAAACCCUGACUUUCAAAACUCUUUACAAUGGAGUCCAGAAUUACCACUUAGCCCUUGCUUAUCAUAAUCUAUCCAUUUUAAGUCCCGAUAAUUUACCACGUGGUCCUUACCUUCAUAAAUACUUACAAGACUAAUCUGGAACUGACACUUUUAAUCCCCGACUUCUAAAAUCGUAACAAUUAGCCCUUCGAGACCAUCCUUGAUAUAUAAUUAUUUAUUUUAGGGCUACCAUUCGUUCAUAAAUUUCAUCUAUUUAAUUAUUUAAUAAAUAGGGUGUUACAACUCUCCCCUACUUAAAUUAGAUUUCGUCCUCGAAUCAUUCCUUACCAUUCCUUAUGCGCCAAACUACUCAAGUAACAUGGUCACCAUCCUGAGCACACCCUAGCCUUCCCAGAGUAGUUGUGACCAAUCUUCGCAAGACCUAAAACCCUCAUACGAACGAAUUUCUCGCAAUAAGAUCACAUCUACAUCAUAUAAAUUGUACUGUCUCGAAGAUGGUCUGAAUCCCUGACAGACCACUCUUACCGAUUCAUUAUUGCCGAAUCCAUUCCACUUGUCUCUCAGCUGCCAACUCAUCUCCUGAUAACUCAAGGCUCCCAUUAGAAAAACAUAAUCACAUAUCCACUUAUCCCUGUGAUUCACUUAUACUUGGCCAAAACUCAGAUAAUCCUGCUAUAAGUGACGUGGGAUAUCCCAAGCUAUCUGUGACUCUAACCAUACAUGAAAUCCCAAAAUACCAUUAUUGAUUGAGACACUGAACUGUCUGAAGCAUUGAAAUUCCUUAAACAUUGAACUGUCUAAAGCAGUAUGCUGCGCCCUGACUGCCUCUCAGAUCUACCAAGACCUCCCUGGUCUCAAAUUGUUCAUCUGUCAUCUGAAAUACCGGGUUCCAACCCGGUUGUGGAGCCAAAGGGCUCCCUACUUAGUCGCUUCACACAACUCCUAAACGAAAUCCUUCUCUGGAACCAGCUGCUACUAGUUAUCUUGUGACUGUGGCCCUAGUGGCCUUCUGAUCUAACUGAUCGAUUCCAUACGUCGGAUCCUGACGUCACCAAACCCAAGGCUAAAAGUGAUUGCAACAUGAUCAUUGGUAGGGGUGUUCGCGGUGUGGUUUGGAGUUGAAACCACAAACUGCACCGCACAUGCGGUUUGAGUUUUUUUGGAAACCACAAACCGCACCACAAAAGCUCUAAACUGCCUUAUGCGGUGCGGUUUCAUGCGGACGGUUUGGGCGGUUUAUGUGCGGUUUGAUAAAUUGUUUCAAUUUAUAACUUUGGUUGUUAUUAAUUAGAUUUAACACUUUCAAAAUUUAUUAAUUAUAUUGCAUACCAUUUAAAAGGCAUAGAUAUUGCAAACAAAAAAACCACAUAAUGUUUUGCUAAGUUGUUAUGACUUAUGAAAUUUGAUAUCAUAGUCUUUUAAGUCUUUAAUUACCAUAUUUAACCAUCGUGAUAUGGAAUAAAAUUAUUGUAAAUUAUGAAGUAUUUGGUGAUUGGAAACUUUGAUAUAUAUAUAUAUAUAUAUAUANAUAUAUACGACGCGGUGCGGUUUGAACCGUGGUUUGGUAACCAUAAACCGCAAACCACACCGCAUAAUGCGGUUUGACAAAAUUACGAACCGCAAACCGCACCGUGAAAUUCUAAACCGCAUUAUGCGGUACGGUUUGGUGCAGUGUGGGCGGUUUGUGCGGUUUAUACGGUUUUUUGCACACCCCUAAUCAUUGGUAGCCUUAUACCAUGAAGGACCUUAAGCAGUCCACUGCUUCCUUGCUCUCUUAGCUGUAGUGGCACUUCUACAGUCUUAUCACUGGCUUAACCAGGAAUUCGUCUCGGUAAUUCCGAAAUCCAAUCCAUGGAUUUCCAUAUCCUCACUGUUACACCCGAACUGGUGGGUGCUACAGUUCUUUCCGUGUCUUAACAACACACUCACGUUAUCUACCAACCUAGUGAAUGCUACGGCUACACCCACAGACUUACAACACUCUGCCACUAUUUGGCUGCUAGUGAAUGCUACGACUACUACCGCAGACUUAUAACACUCUAAUACUAUCUGGCUACUAGUGAAUGCUACAGCUACACCCGUAGACUUACAACACUUUAACACUAUCUGGCUGCUAGUGAAUGCUACAACUAUCUGGCUGCUAGUGAAUGCUACAGCUACACCCGCAGACUUACAACACUCUCCAUACUGGAUUGACACGCUCUUGACCCGCACUCAACCGAACUCAUGUCCUGACUGGAAUCCCCAACUUGGUUCCCUAAGGCUUGUUGGCAAACAUUACGGGAACACGGUCUCCUUAUUGGCAAGUUUUUUCGAACUUCCAUCUCACACUAUCCUCAAACCAUACAGCCGCUUGGGCUGUCUUCCUUCCUGACAAGGAUGCGAAAAUCAUCCCAGUUUCAAAACUGCUCCUACUUCUGAAUCCUUGGAUGACUCUCCCCCACUUUGAUUCAACUAACGUCUUACAACACACAAUACUAGAAGGAUUCUCAAUCCUUCUUACCAUUCUAUGCCCAAUCUGCUGAAAACCACGCUUACCAUAGCUAGUGUUUCAAUACUAGCUAGUCCAAAAGAUCACACCACCUCCAAGAACCCAAAUAAAUCUCCGGUAAUAACCCGCUAGACCCAGGAAACUCUGAAUCUCAAUUGGAGACCUCGGAAUCUCCCAUUGCAUCACGACCUUUAUCUUCGUCGGAUCGACUAGAAUACCCUUCUGAUUAACAAGGUGCCCACGAAAUUUCACCUCGCACAACCAGAGCUCACAUUUGGAGUACCUUGAAAGAAGUCUCUCCCUCCUCAAAGUCUCUAGCACCUCCCUCAGGUGCUUCUCGUGCUGCUCCUCAGUCUUGGAAUAAACCAAGAUGACAAUGUACUCUCCCAAUCCCGCGAUUUGGGAUAUGAUCUUUCGUUAUCCGCUAAUAAUCCUCGGUAUGCAAUUGACAUGUGACAUUUCUUGGAAGUAUAAUUCAAACACAAACAUAGGAUAACCCAGAGUCACACUUACUUAAACCCCUGGAACGAAAGACUCUAUCGUGCAGUUUCCCGCAUGUGCUGUACUGAAUCUAACCCUGCUGGUCUCUCAACAACUUAUCCAAAAUCUAGGGUCUCCUCCUAAGACCCUUCAAUAUAAGCAACUGAUCUGGAUCUCUCUUACUGAUGUGCUCCAAGUCCAUAUCCCGUUCUCAAGCUCUAGAAGUCAUAUCAUUCAGGGUCUUACACCCCGAGAUACUCACGGUCUCCCUGCUACCAUUCUAUAGUAUGUUCUGAUAACUUACCUUCUUCAUUUCCCCAUCUGUUGCAUACCCUGGUACCAUAUAAGCUCUUUCCCGAGGCACACUCCGCUCAAAAUCUGGUCUAAAAGUCAUCCAAUGACAUAGCAUAAACUGCUUCAUCACUCCACUCACUACCAACCUCUUCCUAUCAAUCUCGUGCUCUGUCCCUCAGGAGACAGGAAGUAAGUCAGAUCUUGUCUCCUUUCGAGACAACGUAUGGUACGAAAAGUGUUGGCGACAUCUGCCAACCAUCUGCUGCUAACAAUGGGGUCCCUAAUCCAGAUGACAAUCUGAAGCUUCACGAACUCUGAAUUCCCAAAACAUCAACGUACGGGUCCCUGUCAUGACUGCAAUCUCAGUGCAGAAUGUACUCGGCCUCUCAUCACAAUCUCUAUAAUGCCCUCCUUGAUCAUACUGAGGAUCACAGGAGUCUGGUCAAUGAUACUGCACGUAACCUCAGAUGGAAUGAACUCCCCAUCUGAUCAUCGAGCUGCCCGACUACAGAAUCUGAGCCUGAUCCCUCGUCGACACCAGAACUGCCAUCUGGUCUACCUCUAAGCGUCACUAUACAUUGGAAAUAUACCAUCACGAUCAUCAUAAUACUCAUCGUACUCGAGGGAUCUCACACACUACAAGUUCCAUGGUCUUAUCUCGACCUUCCUUGAUUCGAGUAUGGAUCCUCUACUUUCAGUAGUACGCGCCCGUACUACCUUCCACAUCUAUCCGUACUUUCCUCAAGAACUGCCUUGACCCCACUAAGUACCUUCUACUACUACUACUGUUCUCUGCUACUCUUAUCCUAGGCUUGCCCUAAGGUAAUCAUCAACCCACUCUCCACCAUCAGCUACAUAAGAAGUCCCUACUUUCUUCCCCUAACUAGCUCGCGAAUACUAUUACAUAUUACUCAGACUAGAUAGUUCUUCGAAUGAGAGAUCCUAACCUACAACGUUUAGACUCAAACAAGAGCUGCGAAAUAGAGCUAGACCUAACCUUCUGAAAUUAAUUAGUGAUAUGAACAUAUUUAGUUAUAAAAUGCAUGCAUUAUCUUAAUACUUUAUGUUGUUUUUAUAUCAUUUUAUGGACAAAAGGUACUUAAUUAGCUUAAUAUUUCAAUUUCAGCAAUAAAAUACAUGCUCGAAAGGAAAAGGAAGCGGAAUUGGCGAUUGAAAGCUUGGAUCUUGAAUUUUGAAGAAAGAAGGAUGUUGUUGGACAGCUUGAUCCAUCGUCAGUGUUUUGGCUAUAUAUCAUGAACCGUAACUCCGAUUGACGAGAUUCAAAAUGUUCUGAAAACUAGACACAAUUUUGGACAACUUUUGCGUUUUGAGAAAAUGUUGAUCCUAGAAAAACUCGACGAGUUGGGCCUAAACUCGACGAGUUUUGUCAGAAUGUUCCAGAUUCGAAGAUGCCUUGCCGUACACGCUGUAUACGCGGAUUAUCGAAAAAAAUCGACGAGUUAUUCUUAAAAACUCGUCGAGUUGACGCUGUUUUCAGAAUUUAUAUAUAGAAACUCUUCUCAUUCGAACCCUAACUUUUACUGGAGGCUAUCUGCGACUUUUGAAGAUCAGAAGGGUUCUUGGAGCUGCUAUUUUCGAGAUUUCAACAUAAGAGACAAUUUCAAAGAGAAUCAAAGGCAAAUAAUCAUUCUUCUUUUCUUAAUCUUUGUUUUGAACCAUGGUUAAAUCAUUAGAUUUUGAUUUUAGGUUAUUACUUGUUUUAGAUAUGAGCUAAAAGCUUUUUACUUCUGUUUGGAUGAGAUAAUCUUAUGAACAUGGUUUGAUUAAGUGGUUGAAUUGAUAUUAAUUUGGUUAUUCAUCUUGUUAAGCUUAUUAAAGAUCCUUAUGUAUUGAUGAUAAAUAUUUUUAGUUAACAAAUAAGUGAUUGAGUUGCAUGAAUAUCUUCUUGAUUACUUGAUUCAUAUAGUUUUAUGAAUAUAAGAUUGUAUGCCUAGAAAUAGUGAAUAUGAAACUAGGGUUAACUAUAAAAUGUGAAAAUCAAUGUGUGAGCAUGUGUGAUGAACAAACAUACAUGAGUUGAUUGAAUUGAACAAAUUUAAUUAACUAUUGUUAUAAGUCUUGCUUGAUACGAACUGAACACUAGGAAACUUGUUAAUUUAAUCACUUGAUCACUGUUUGAAUUAACUUGUCUACUAAAGGAUUGGUAAUAAUGAACAUGAACCCAAUCACUUUAGGAAUCGGUAACCAUUAACAUACUAAUUCAUUGCACUUGCCACGAAAUCAACCAUAGGAAUAAGUGAAUCGAAUCUAAACAGAAGUCUCUUUUAUCAUUGAAUCUACUGUUCCUUUCUUAUUCUUCUUAGUUGUUAAUUGUCUUUGUUUGAGUUUUAAAGUGCUUGAUUAAGUUUCUAGUCUUGAAAAACUAGAGAAAACCUCACUUUUAUUUAAUUGUUUUUAAUUAGAUAAUACUAGUACUUAAUUUAAUUGUUACCGUUCCCUGUCUUCGAUACCCUACUUGCUUAAACUAAACUACUAUCGGUAGGUACACUGCCUGCGUGUGUUUGUUUUCAUUUGAGUUUGUUAGGAUUAAAACUAGUUUGUUUAAACACAUCAAUUAGUCCUUGUAAUAUGUAACUUAACAUAUUCGUUUACUAGUUAGUGAAAGACAACUAGAACUCCUAAAAGCACAAAGCGAGCAACAUUCGGGCAUUGAGUACACAUAAUCAACUAAUCAAGCAUAUACUACUCAGGCUAUCACCUUGACUAAUCUGUACUAGCAUGUAGUUUUCAUAAGGCUGAAUCACAUAUAACAGGCACAUAAGACAUCCUUCCUAGAUUCUUAGUCCUAAUCUACCAUGUUAUUCUAAUAAAGCUGAUAUCAUAACAUAAACUUGUAUGGGUAAUUAGGGAGUACUUACUUGAGCUCGGCUGAUUGCAUGUAGCACACCCUUUUUCUCUUUUCAAAGUUCUUUUCUUUUUAACAAUUCUUUUCGCUUUUCUAAAACUCUUUUCGUUCGAAAACUUUAUACCACUUCCUUAGUUUGAGUUAAGACACACUCGGAAGUGUGCCUGAAUCCCUCAAACCAAGGCUCUGAUACCAACUUGUAACAUCCCAAAAAUACAAGCCAAAAAUUUCAUUUUUAACACAUUAAUAAAACCAUAAUUAUCUUUCAACAUAUACAAAUCAUAAACGGUGUAUCUCAAGAAUAACAUAACAUCUGUCAGAUAUAUCAGAGUAUAAACAUCCUAGGCUGAACAAGUGGUGUAUGCAUUGCAAUCUUCCCGAGCUUCUCUUUUGAAAAUUGAGUACCUAAAACCAAAACUAAAAACUGUAAGCACGAAGCUUAUUGAGUCUCCCCAAACUACCACAUACCAUACACAUAAUCACAUAACUUGGGCCUAGCCCACUGCAUCAUGCCCUGCCCGACAUCGGAUCGUAAUCCGAUACACAUAUAAACAUAUCCACAAUGCAUAUAACAUAAACACAUAACAUAAUUACAACUCUGAGACUACUAGAUACACAUAUAAACAUAUCCACAAUGCAUAUAACAUAAACACAUAACAUAACUAUUCUAGUCCAUUUGCUUGCUUUUGGAUGGUCCAUUUUUAUCCCAAUCACCAAGGCCCAAUAGGAAGGCCCAACUCAAAGUCCAAGUGAAAUUAGGGUUUCACCUAAAAUGAUAAUUAGGGGUAAGUGUUUCUCACUUAACCCAUUAAGGACUUAAUCCAUUAAGUCUUUUACUCUACUAGAUAAGUGAUAUGUGAUAAUUGGGCUUAAUACACAAUCCAAUCCCAAUGGCUCAAAAUUGGGUCGAAAUAAGUCCAAGGCCUAAAUACUCACAAUUAGGGUUUUCCACCCAAACAUGACCCAAUAGGCCCAAAACUAAUCUCUAAGCCCAUUAGGGUUUGCUAGUGGGGCACCACCCACUACCACCUCGGGUAGUGGUGGUCAAUGGCGGCACGCGGCGGCGGCCACCACCUUACGGUGGUGGUGAUGGUUUUUUUCAUUAUAUUUUCUACUAAUUAUAAUUACAAGUUUUUAAUCCACAAAUAAACACACACACUAACUACUCUAACACACACACAACCACUCUAGUGGUGGCCGGCGACGGUACAAGGCAGCAGUCACCACCUCAUGGUGGUGGUGGUGACAUUUCCCAUG
rnacentral:lncRNA from 1 species